CUAAUUAAACAGGCUCUCCAAAGAGGGCGCGGCAAGGCCACGCUUGUGUUUCUAGUUUCAUACGAGGCAACCAGAUACUCGGUCUAUGCUGUAUGGAUUUUCAGGUCUCGGAAGGCUUACAGGUUCGCAGGUUAAUUGGUUCCAUCCACCUUUGCAAUACACAUACUGCUUGAUUUUCUUUUCCAGACACAACUUGUAUAUAGACGGAAGUAAAACCCUCUGAGCUGAUCUGACUGGGGUUUGUUGGUGCUUACACAGAGCUUAUUCCUAUGGGUUCAAGAAAACCCCACCGGCUGGCCGCUGGCGUCGCCGGCGGCUGCACCGGAUGUACUUCACCCUGAGUCCCGGUUGGAGGUGCGCUCCCUGCCGGGUAAUCCAAUGUACAGCUCCGUCUCAACGUCCGCGUU
rnacentral:lncRNA from 1 species